CUUAGUUUAAGGGUGUGCAUAUUUAUGCAACCAGGUUAUUUUAACUUUUCUGUUUUUUAUUUUUCCCCUUGAAGGUUUCAGUUUGUUUUUCAGUUGUGUUGUUCAGGUUAUAGGUCACAUUAAAAGUGGAAAAAGUUGUAUAAAUAUUUAUCUUGCUGUUAUUUUCUUACAUCACGAUAACCUGGCAGUUGAACAGGAGUGUGUCGACGUCUUAUAUCCACUGUAUCUGGUCCUGGUUCAGUUUGAACCUCAUUAGUAGAUGCAGUGAUGAACUGAGUUUUUGAAGUGAUUCUGAGUCCAUGUGGUGAUUUCCACUUUGGAAAGUGGUUUUGGUUCUGGUCCCUUUAGUUCAGACGUCUCUCUGAAUUAUCUGAUGUUCUGCAUACGAUGAAAUCCACUCAGGAACUGUUGACCUGUCGGCUCACACGGUCUCUCACAGAGUCCUGAACCUCCUCCUGAAGACUCCGCCCCUUCACAGACACGUAACUGACAGCAGGUCUUGGAUCAGUAGUCCCCAUAGACUGUAUCUAGAAUAGACGCCGUCUGCCUCCCUUCUCUGAGAACAGCGCCCUCUGGUGACAGGCUGCAGUAUAGGUCAUAAACCCCGCCUCCUUAUGGAGCUGUGGACAAACUUAAUAAAUGAAUGACACAGAAUAUAAAUGUUUCUCCCCCCUGGUUGUGAUGUUGACAUGUAGUUACUGUCAGACUGGUUUGUGCUCAAGUCCUCUUUUUUCUGUACAGCUCCAUUUUUAAAAGUUAUUAGGGGGUUCAUGUUUUCAAUGAUUGACACCUGAUACAGCCUAUGGGAGGACAGAGAUUGAGUAGA